GAGUUUGAUCCUGGCUCAGGACGAACGCUGGCGGCGUGCUUAACACAUGCAAGUCGAACGAUGAACCACUUCGGUGGGGAUUAGUGGCGAACGGGUGAGUAACACGUGGGCAAUCUGCCCUGCACUCUGGGACAAGCCCUGGAAACGGGGUCUAAUACCGGAUACUGACCAUCGCAGGCAUCUGUGAUGUUCGAAAGCUCCGGCGGUGCAGGAUGAGCCCGCGGCCUAUCAGCUUGUUGGUGAGGUAAUGGCUCACCAAGGCGACGACGGGUAGCCGGCCUGAGAGGGCGACCGGCCACACUGGGACUGAGACACGGCCCAGACUCCUACGGGAGGCAGCAGUGGGGAAUAUUGCACAAUGGGCGAAAGCCUGAUGCAGCGACGCCGCGUGAGGGAUGACGGCCUUCGGGUUGUAAACCUCUUUCAGCAGGGAAGAAGCGAAAGUGACGGUACCUGCAGAAGAAGCGCCGGCUAACUACGUGCCAGCAGCCGCGGUAAUACGUAGGGCGCGAGCGUUGUCCGGAAUUAUUGGGCGUAAAGAGCUCGUAGGCGGCUUGUCACGUCGGUUGUGAAAGCCCGGGGCUUAACCCCGGGUCUGCAGUCGAUACGGGCAGGCUAGAGUUCGGUAGGGGAGAUCGGAAUUCCUGGUGUAGCGGUGAAAUGCGCAGAUAUCAGGAGGAACACCGGUGGCGAAGGCGGAUCUCUGGGCCGAUACUGACGCUGAGGAGCGAAAGCGUGGGGAGCGAACAGGAUUAGAUACCCUGGUAGUCCACGCCGUAAACGGUGGGCACUAGGUGUGGGCAACAUUCCACGUUGUCCGUGCCGCAUCUAACGCA
rnacentral:rRNA from 1 species